ensembl:snRNA U1 U1 spliceosomal RNA
GUACUUAUCUGGCAGGGGAGAUACCAUGAUCAUGAAGGUGGUUUUCCCAGGGUGAGUUUUAUCCAUUGCACUCCAGAUGCACUGACCCCUGCAUCUUCCUCAAAUGUGGGUAACUCGAAUGCAUAAUUUGUGGUAGUGGGGGACUGAGUUUGCGCUUUCCUCUG